CGGCACGCCUAAUACAUGCAAGUCGAACGAGAAAGCACUUCGGUGUGAGUACAGUGGCGGACGGGUGAGUAACGCGUAGGAAUCUACCUAGUAGUGGGGGACAACUCGAGGAAACUCGAGCUAAUACCGCAUACGCUCUUAGGAGGAAAGUGGGGGAUCUUCGGACCUCACGCUAUUAGAGGAGCCUGCGUUAGAUUAGCUUGUUGGUGAGGUAAAGGCUCACCAAGGCGACGAUCUAUAGCUGGUCUGAGAGGACGAUCAGCCACACUGGAACUGAGACACGGUCCAGACUCCUACGGGAGGCAGCAGUAGGGAAUCUUGGGCAAUGGGCGAAAGCCUGACCCAGCGAUGCCGCGUGUGCGAAGAAGGCCUUAGGGUUGUAAAGCACUUUCAGUCGUGAAGAAAAGCUACGAUUUAAUAUGUCGUGGUCUUGACGUUAGCGACAGAAGAAGUACCGGCUAACUCCGUGCCAGCAGCCGCGGUAAUACGGAGGGUACGAACGUUAAUCGGAAUUACUGGGCGUAAAGCGCGCGUAGGCGGUUUGAUAAGUGGGAUGUGAAAGCCCCGGGCUCAACCUGGGAACUGCAUUCCAAACUGUCAAACUAGAGUGUGGUAGAGGGCGGUAGAAUUUCCUGUGUAGCGGUGAAAUGCGUAGAUAUAGGAAGGAAUACCGAUGGCGAAGGCAGCCGCCUGGACCAACACUGACGCUGA
rnacentral:rRNA from 1 species